GAAGACUGAUUCAGCAUAGUGAGUGAUACAGAGUGAAACUGUAAGUUGUUUUUGUGACUGUUAUUUGCUGAACUUAAGCUAUGUUUACUUGAGGUAAAGGAAAGGGGAUAUUUUAGUUGGCUAUAGAAAACACUAGUGUUGAUAAUGUGAACGCCAUUAAUACUGCCUAUGUCUAGUAGCCUAUUUCAAUCAGUCCCUAUAGAAUGUUAGUGUCAGUGAAAACUAUAUGUUAUAGUGUCCCUGUUAAUGCUGUUGUAUAUCCUUCCAUUCACUGACCAGAUGGAUAUUAUAUUUUAGGAGAGACAGAGAGAAGCGGGAGAUUGGCAGGGCAGCUGAUUCUGAGUUUAUAGUUUGUGUCCAGCCCCGGGACAGAGGGACUCCUAUGUGCUGCUCUGUGGUGGGUUGUGUUCUCUGGAGCAGUUAAAAGCCUGGCAGCUCCACCCCAUGACUGUCCAAACACAGUUGACUCAAGGCAUCCACAUCAAACAGAGCUCUCUGCAAAGCCUAUUGGAAAGUUAACCAUGGGGUGCUGAGCUUAUUUAUUUAUUUUCCACACAAAAAAUGUACCUGGCCUCAAUUUUUUUUCAAAUGUUUUAAAGCAAAAUUUACUUGACGGGACAUAGCUGUAUUUAAAAAGCAGUUUUGACACCGCACCUGAUUCUGCUCAGCUCUUCUGGACCAAGUCAAAACCAAGAUUCAGAGCAAGUAACAAGAAAAGACAAGUCAAUGAAAGAUCCUUUCAGUCUGCUCCUCAGUGACACUCACAACGGACAUGUCGGAACAAAAUUAACUUUCCUGGUGGUGUGUGUUUUAGAGCGCACGCACUGCAAUCAGUAAUUCAUCCUGCCUUGAGAUCCUUUGACAUUGACUUUCAAGGGUAGAUGCUAUGUGAAAAUGUAAAUAAACGUUAGAGGAGCUUUG